rnacentral:rRNA from 1 species
GAUGAACGCUAGCGGGAGGCUUAACACAUGCAAGUCGUGGGGCAGCGCGGUGUAGCAAUACACUGGUGGCGACCGGCGCACGGGUGAGUAACGCGUAUGCAACCUGCCCUGUACAGGGGGAUAGCCCGGAGAAAUUCGGAUUAAUACCCCAUAAAGAUAUCGAGAGGCAUCUUUUGAUAUUUAAAGCUUCGGCGGUACGGGAUGGGCAUGCGUGACAUUAGCUAGUUGGUAGGGUAACGGCCUACCAAGGCUUCGAUGUCUAGGGGUCCUGAGAGGGUGUUCCCCCACACUGGUACUGAGACACGGACCAGACUCCUACGGGAGGCAGCAGUGAGGAAUAUUGGUCAAUGGGCGACAGCCUGAACCAGCCAUCCCGCGUGAAGGAAGAAGGCGCUAUGCGUUGUAAACUUCUUUUCCAGAGGAAUAAAAUUUCGUACGUGUACGGAACUGAAGGUACCCUGGGAAUAAGCAUCGGCUAACUCCGUGCCAGCCGCCGCGGUAAUAC